UACAGAGGUCGCAAGCGUUGUUCGGAUUCAUUGGGCGUAAAGGGUGCGUAGGCGGCGCGGUAAGUCGGGUGUGAAAUCUCGGAGCUUAACUCCGAAAUUGCAUUCGAUACUGCCGUGCUUGAGGACUGGAGAGGAGACUGGAAUUCAUGGUGUAGCAGUGAAAUGCGUAGAGAUCAUGAGGAAGACCAGUGGCGAAGGCGGGUCUCUGGACAGUUCCUGACACUGAGGCACGAAGGCCAGGGGAGCAAACGGG
rnacentral:rRNA from 1 species